AGUGAACGCUGGCGGUAGGCCUAACACAUGCAAGUCGAACGGCAGCACAGUAAGAGCUUGCUCUUACGGGUGGCGAGUGGCGGACGGGUGAGGAAUACAUCGGAAUCUACUUUUUCGUGGGGGAUAACGUAGGGAAACUUACGCUAAUACCGCAUACGACCUACGGGUGAAAGCAGGGGAUCUUCGGACCUUGCGCGAUUGAAUGAGCCGAUGUCGGAUUAGCUAGUUGGCGGGGUAAAGGCCCACCAAGGCGACGAUCCGUAGCUGGUCUGAGAGGAUGAUCAGCCACACUGGAACUGAGACACGGUCCAGACUCCUACGGGAGGCAGCAGUGGGGAAUAUUGGACAAAGGGCGCAAGCCUGAUCCAGCCAUACCGCGUGGGUGAAGAAGGCCUUCGGGUUGUAAAGCCCUUUUGUUGGGAAAGAAAAGCAGCAGGUUAAUACCCCGCUGUUCUGACAGUACCCAAAGAAUAAGCACCGGCUAACUUCGUG
rnacentral:rRNA from 1 species